rnacentral:lncRNA from 1 species
ACUUUUUUUUUUUUUUUUUUUUUUUUGAGACAGGGUCUCACUCUGUUGCUCAGGCCGGAGUGCAGUGGCAUGAACAAAGCUCGCUGCAGCCUCGAACUCCUGGGCUUGAAUGAUCCUCCACCUCAUCCUCUUGAGUAGAUGGGACUACAGGCAUGUGCCACCACAUCUGGGUGCCUGUGUUAGUAAGAACAUUCCCUUUAUGCAAAAUUUGUUUGGUGUUUUUACUGCGAGUGGGUUUUUGAAUUGGAAAGUGUUUAU